CAGCUCUCCGAGUGUGGGGAUGUUUAUUGGGCCUAAAGCAUCCGUAGCCGGCUGGGCAAGUCCCCUGUUAAAUCCAGCGAUUUAAUCGUUGGAUUGCGGAGGAUACUGUCCGGCUUGGGGGCGAGAGAGGCCGACGGUAUUUCCGGGGUAGGGGUGAAAUCCUAUAAUCCCGGAAGGACCACCAGUGGCGAAGGCUGUCGGCUAGAACGCGCCCGACGGUGAGGGAUGAAAGCUGGGGGAGCGAACCGGAUUAGAUACCCGGGUAGUCCCAGCUGUAAACGAUGCAGGCUAGGUGUUAGGGCGGCCACGUGCCGCUCUAGUGCCGCAGGGAAGCUGUUAAGCCUGCCGCCUGGGGAGUACGGCCGCAAGGCUGAAACUUAAAGGAAUUGGCGGGGGAGCACCACAAGGGGUGAAGCUUGCGGUUUAAUUGGAGUCAACGCCGGAAAUCUCACCGGGGGCGACAGCAGGAUGAAAGCCAGAUUAAAGGUCUUGCCAGACGAGCUGAGAGGAGGUGCAUGGCCGUCGCCAGUUCGUGCCGUGAGGUGUCCUGUUAAGUCAGGCAACGAUCGAGACCCGCAUCCCCCGUUGCUAUUGGCGAACAGCCAAGCACACUGGGGAGACUGCCGCCGACAAGGCGGAGGAAGGAGCGGGCCACGGCAGGUCUGU
rnacentral:rRNA from 1 species